rnacentral:rRNA from 1 species
CCUACGGGUGGCUGCAGUGAGGAAUAUUGGUCAAUGGGCGCGAGCCUGAACCAGCCAAGUAGCGUGAAGGAUGACUGCCCUACGGGUUGUAAACUUCUUUUAUAAAGGAAUAAAGUGAGGCACGUGUGCCUUUUUGUAUGUACUUUAUGAAUAAGGAUCGGCUAACUCCGGGCCAGCAGCCGCGGUAAUACGGAGGGUCCGAGCGUUAUCCGGAUUUAUUGGGUUUAAGGGGAGCGUAGAUGGGUUGUUAAGUCAGUUGUGAAAGUACGCGGCUCAACCGUAAAAGUGCAAUUGAUACUGGCAGUCUUGAGUACAGUAGAGGUGGGCGGAAUUCGAGGUGUAGCGGUGAAAUGCGUAGAUAUCACGAAGAACUCCGAUUGCGAAGGCAGCUUACUAAACUGCCACUGACAUUGAUGCUCGAAAGUGUGGGUAUCAAACAGGAUUAGAUACCCGUGUAGUC